rnacentral:SRP_RNA from 1 species
GCCAGGCGUGGUGGCACUCGCCUGUAAUCCCAGCUACUCGGGAGGCUGAGGCAGGAGAAUCGCUUGAAUCCAGGAGGCGGAGGUUGCAGUGAGCCAAGAUCAUGCCACUGCACUCCAGCCUGGGUGACAGAGCGAGACUCUGUCUCCA